rnacentral:rRNA from 1 species
UACAGAGACCUCGAGCGUUAUCCGGAUUGAUUGGGCGUAAAGAGUACGUAGGCGGCUUAUUAAGCCGGUGGUUAAAUUUUUCGGCUCAACCGGAAAACCGCCACUGGAACUGGUAAGCUAGAGUAUGGAAUAGGUUAGCGGAAUUGCCGGUGUAACGGUAAAAUGUGUUAAUAUCGGCAAGAACACCAGAGGAGAAAUCGGCUAACUGGGACAUUACUGACGCUGUUGUACGAAAGCGUGGGGAGCGAAUGGGAUUAGAUACCCCAGUAGUCCACGCCCUAAACGAUGAAUACUAGUCAUUGGAAGUAUCGACCCUUUCAGUGGCGUUUAAAAUAGCUAACGCAUUAAGUAUUCCGCCUGGGAAGUACGAUCGCAAGAUUAAA